rnacentral:rRNA from 1 species
UGGAUCCAGACCUUGAUCAUGGCUCAGGAUGAACGCUAGCUACAGGCUUAACACAUGCAAGUCGAGGGGCAGCAUCAUCAAAGCUUGCUUUGAUGGAUGGCGACCGGCGCACGGGUGAGUAACACGUAUCCAACCUGCCGACAACACUGGGAUAGCCUUUCGAAAGAAAGAUUAAUACCGGAUGGCAUAGUUUUCCCGCAUGGGAUGAUUAUUAAAGAAUUUCGGUUGUCGAUGGGGAUGCGUUCCAUUAGGCAGUUGGCGGGGUAACGGCCCACCAAACCAACGAUGGAUAGGGGUUCUGAGAGGAAGGUCCCCCACAUUGGAACUGAGACACGGUCCAAACUCCUACGGGAGGCAGCAGUGAGGAAUAUUGGUCAAUGGACGAGAGUCUGAACCAGCCAAGUAGCGUGAAGGAUGACUGCCCUAUGGGUUGUAAACUUCUUUUAUACGGGAAUAAAGUUAGCCACGUGUGGCUUUUUGUAUGUACCGUAUGAAUAAGGAUCGGCUAACUCCGUGCCAGCAGCCGCGGUAAUACGGAGGAUCCGAGCGUUAUCCGGAUUUAUUGGGUUUAAAGGGAGCGUAGGCGGGUUGUUAAGUCAGUCGUGAAAGUUUGCGGCUCAACCGUAAAAUUGCAGUUGAUACUGGCGACCUUGAGUGCAACAGAGGUAGGCGGAAUUCGUGGUGUAGCGGUGAAAUGCUUAGAUAUCACGAAGAACUCCGAUUGCGAAGGCAGCUUACUGGAUUGUAACUGACGCUGAUGCUCGAAAGUGUGGGUAUCAAACAGGAUUAGAUACCCUGGUAGUCCACACAGUAAACGAUGAAUACUCGCUGUUGGCGAUAUACAGUCAGCGGCCAAGCGAAAGCAUUAAGUAUUCCACCUGGGGAGUACGCCGGCAACGGUGCAACUCAAAGGAAUUGACGGA